rnacentral:misc_RNA from 1 species
UUUCCGUAGGCGAACCUGCGGAAGGAUCAUUAUUGUAUAACCGAGGUGCGAGGGCUGUCGCUGACCCGAAAGGUCGUGCACGCCCGAGUGCCCUCACACACAUCCAUCUCACCCCUAUGUGCACUACCGCGUGGGUCCCCCUUUGGCUUGUUCGGAGGGGGGCUUACGUUUUCACACAAACUUUGUAUGCAGUGUAGAAUGUAUUUUUUGUUUUUGCGAUCACGCAAUCAAUACAACUUUCAACAACGGAUCUUUUGGCUCUCGCAUCGAUGAAAAACGCAGC